UGUUUAUUUAAUUUGUCCUUUCUGUGCCAGAGAAGGGCUGGGCUGCUGGCAGUGGCUGCCACACGAGGUUAUCAGGAGCUGGUGCUGAGGGCCCUGCCUGGUGGGAUGGGGGCAACUGGGGGCUCCAGCACAGCCCAGAGGCUCUGUUGGAACAAUCCAGCCUCACACCCUGAGACGCAGACAUGCACAGCACAAGGCUGAGGAUCGGAUCCAUCACUGGCAUCCAGCAGGAGCCAGGGUCCAGGCACCCAGGGCUCCUCCAGCGCAGAGUUAAACUGGCCCAGCUCUGAGCAGGGCUCUCCAGCAGAGCCUGGCAGCAGCAGGAAUCCUUCUGCAGGCACAGCAGGGACCUGGGGUGCAUCUUCUGCUGCCUCUGCACCCAUGACACCAGGCACACACCAUAACCACCACCAGGUACAUACACACUCACCUGGCACUGCCCUGGGCUGCCCUGCAGGGCAGGGGCACAGGCUGCUCCUGCCCCAGCUCUGUGCAGACACCGGGACUGUGCCCUGCAGGCUCCCAGCCCUGCCCUGCCCCAGCACGGCCUGCUGUGGGCCUGCAGGGAGACCUGAGAGAACCUUCCAGAACCUACCAGGGCUGCAGGAGAGCUGGGGAGGGACCCAGGGGGAUGGUUUCCCACUGCCAGAGGGCAGGAAUGGGAUGGGAUGUUGGGCAGGGAUGGGAUGGGAUGUUGGGAAGGGUGGUAGAUGGGAUGUUGGGAAGGGAUGGAUGGGAUGUCAGGCAGGGAUGGGAUGGGAUGUCAGGGAGGGAUGGAUGGGAUGUCAGGCAGGGAUGGAUGGGAUGUUGGGAAGGGAUAGAGGGGAUGUCAGGCAGGGAUGGAUGGGAUGUCGGGCAGGGCUGGAUGGGAUGUUGGGCAGGGAUGGGAUGGGAUGUCAGGCAGGGAUGGAUGGGAUGUUGGGAAGGGAUAGAGGGGAUGUCAGGCAGGGAUGGAUGGGAUGUUGGGCAGGGCUGGAUGGGAUGUUGGGCAGGGAUGGGAUGGGAUGGGAUGUUGGGCAGGAAUUCCUCCCUGUGAAGUGGGCAGCCCUGGCACAGGGUGCCCAGAGCAGCUGUGGCUGCCCCUGGAUCCCAGGCAGUGCCCAGGGCCAGGCUUGGAGCAGUGGAAGGUGUCCCUGCCAUGACAGGGGUGGCACUGGAU
rnacentral:lncRNA from 1 species